rnacentral:lncRNA from 1 species
CUUUACUGCGCAUACUCAUAACAAUCUGGUGAUUUUUAGCAAAAUCUGGCAACUUUUUAAGCAAUUGUCUGGUGAUUUUUAGUUUUUUGACCUGGCAACCUUGCUUGGGAGUGUCAAUAAGAAUGGCGGCCCAUUCGGGAGAAAUCUAUUAUUACCGCUGGUAAACCCUCUCUAACACCGAGAGCAGACACUUCCAAGAUUCAGUCAACCAGGGAACAAGUCUAAGGAUACAGUCCCAUUUGUUUUGUUUUGGUUCAUCAUCCUGCAUCCUCCGAGGGACAGGUUCAUUAGCUAUUGGGCAGUUGCACCACUUCGGUGUUAACUUCGUACCACGGAUUUGGUACCACACACCAAGGAUCAGUGUUGGAACGCGUGAAAAGGGGUUUGUUUUGGGGGACAAUUAUUCAUACUAGUUAAAGACUUAUACUGUUUUUUUUUGUAAUAUUCAGGACAUUUAAGUUAGAUACACAUAAGUUCAUAAUUUAAUUACACAUAAAUAUUUUUUUCUUUCUCUACAAAUUUAAGUACCUUUUAGUUAUAAUAACCAUGCCUAACAGUUAGUACUGUUCCCCCAAAUUUAUAUAAUUCUUGGUAGAAGUUUCGAGCUCGAAGAUUCUCCCCAUACAUGUUCUUUCCUCUUGGUUCGUAUUAAUUUUAGACUUGUUUUCUCAGUUAAUUUAAAAAUAAUAUUAGUUCAAUUCACCUAAAUUUAAAAUCAUUCAACUUAUUUCAUAAUUUUUCAAUUUGUAUUAGAUUUUUGUAAAUAUUAUUUAACGUUAACUAUUAAUUUUUUUAUAUUAUAUUUGAAUAAAUCCCUAGUACCCAUCCCCUCAGGAAGGUACUAGUUUUACUUGCGAUUAUUAUUUAGAACCACUAGUCAGAAAAGGAUCUUUUGUAUCCAGUACUAAGUUGGUUCAUUUAGGGACUUGUUACCCGUCAACACAUUGAGAGUUGUAAAAUAUAUAUUAUUUACAUUAGGUAUUUUCCUUAUUCUAUUAUCAGGUAGUAUUCAAUUAGGGUGUACGUAUUAAAAUCGUACAAGUGUUAUUUGGUGAAGGGUUCAUACUAAUCUAGGUGUAAGUUGUACUUUCUGUAUUAGAGGUACCCUUAUUCAGAUUUUCUAACCUUAUUAAGAUUAUUCUUAGAUCACAUUUGUGUGAUAAUUUUUUAAUUGACUUUCACUAGUAUCAUUUUUUUGUCAUGUUAGAGUCACAGACUAGUUACUUGUCUUAACUUGGAGAUUGUGAACAUCUAGUAGUUAAAUUUAAUAAAUAUAUAUUUAUUGUGCA